rnacentral:misc_RNA from 1 species
UCCGGUUUGUCACCGGCAGUCCCUCUAGAGUGCCCACCAUAACGUGCUGGCAACUAAAGGCAAGGGUUGCGCUCGUUGCGGGACUUAACCCAACAUCUCACGACACGAGCUGACGACAACCAUGCACCACCUGUCUCCUCUGUCCCGAAGGAACUGCGCUGCUAGGCGCCAGUCAGAGGGAUGUCAAGACCUGGUAAGGUUCUUCGCGUUGCUUCGAAUUAAACCACAUGCUCCGCUGCUUGUGCGGGUCCCCGUCAAUUCCUUUGAGUUUCAGUCUUGCGACCGUACUCCCCAGGCGGAAUACUUAAUGCGUUAGCUGCGGCACCGGGCUUUGACCCCCGACACCUAGUAUUCAUCGUUUACAGCGUGGACUAC